AGAGUUUGAUCCUGGCUCAGAACGAACGCUGGCGGCGUGCCUAACACAUGCAAGUCGAACGGGAUUAAGGGGCUUGCCUCUUAAUUUAGUGGCGCACGGGUGAGUAACGCGUGGAUAACCUGCCCUGGUAUCCGGGAUAACAUCUCGAAAGGGGUGCUAAUACGGGAUAAGCCCACGGGGUCUUCGGACCUUGCGGGAAAAGGUGGCCUCUGAAUAUGCUGCCGUAUCAGGAUGGGUCCGCGUACCAUUAGCUAGUUGGUAGUGUAAUGGACUACCAAGGCUACGAUGGUUAGCUGGUCUGAGAGGAUGAUCGGCCACACUGGAACUGAGACACGGUCCAGACUCCUACGGGAGGCAGCAGUGGGGAAUUUUGCGCAAUGGGGGAAACCCUGACGCAGCAACGCCGCGUGAGUGAUGAAGGCCUUCGGGUCGUAAAGCUCUGUCAGAGGGAAAGAAGUGUAGCAUGGUUAAUACCCAUACUACUUGACGGUACCCUCAAAGGAAGCACCGGCUAACUCCGUGCCAGCAGCCGCGGUAAUA
rnacentral:rRNA from 1 species